UCCCCUAGAGCUCAUCUGAGACCUAAGAUGGCGGCGUUCGUACUGAGGGAAAGUACAGCUGGCGUACCAGGUGUGGAAAGCAGCCAAUGAACAAAUCUGAGGGAAGUACAGAAGCUCGCCAACUUUUGUUUUGUGAUGAAGACCUCUGGGCAUUGUAAUAUUAACAUUUGUUCUGGAAGCACAUUGUUCUGUUCAGAGGGGAUUUCCACAUCUGUUAGGAAAUAAGUACUUAAGAUAUACAAACAUACAAAGAAUAACACAAUGAGAGAUGCAAAAAAAAAAAAUACAGUGAACCUCUGUUUUAUCAUCCAGACGUUAAAAAUAAUACAUUACUAUGAUAGUUGAAGUUCUCUGCGUACCCAUUCCUGGAUUCAUCUCUUUUCUUCCUUCAUCCCCAGAGAGAGAAAGAGCACAAGCAGGGGGAGCAGGCUCCUUGCUGAGCAAGGAGCCAAACGUGGGACUUCCUCCCAAGAUCCUGGCAUCAUGACCUGAGCUGAAGGCAGACGCUUAACCAACUGAGCCACCCACGUAUCCCAAAGACCAGAAGUUUUUUGAUGAAAUCCAUUUCAUAAAGUUUUUUUCUUAGAUGGCCUUCCAGUACAGUGUGGAAUGGGGUAGAGAGGACCCUGAGAUCAUGACCUGAGCUGAAAUUAAGAGUUGGAGGCUUAGCUGACUGAGCUACCCAGAACAGGAAGUGGGCAGGUAUUUCAGAUUUCACUACUGCUAUUCAGCUUAGCACUGGAAGUUCUACCCAGGACCAUAAGGGUGACUCCAUUUGUGCAGAUCUCAUGGCAACAAAUGUGGCUUAAUAUCCAGACAAGGCAUGCAUCUAGUCUACUUUGGAGUGAGAAAAAGAAGCCCUUUGGAGCUGGAGUAAUUUUAGAGAUGAGAGAGCUGAAGAAGGGGAUCUCCUUAUUUUGUAUAUGAACUGAAGCAGUUUCUUGAGCUCAUCUUCAAUGUGAACAUGUAUGAGAUAGUCCAAAAUAAAACAUAGAAAUAGCUUUUGGAAUUUAUAAUAUGAAGCCCCAUCCAUGUUACAGACUGAACUCAGAGAAUCAUAUGUGAGGUAGACCCAAAUCAUCAUGGUAAAGACUGAAAACUAGAUAUUGGAAACAAUUCUCAUAAAAGGGGAGAUCGAAGUUGUGGUCUGAACCUAACUGAAUUGAUUGCCUUUUUAAAAGGGCAUUCACACAUACAUUGUCCAGGAGAUUUUUAAAGAGAUCAGAUUCUUACAACAUAAUGUGCAAAAUGCCCAACAAUCCAAAAAUACAAAGAACUAGGGGAAAUAUGUGACAAUGAAUAGGUGCCAGACACAGGAUAUUAGAGAUUUUGGAA